rnacentral:rRNA from 1 species
CCCUUAGAUGUCCUGGGCCGCACGCGCGCUACACUGAUGCAUGCAACGAGUUUAUAACCUUGGCCUGAAAGGUCUGGGUAAUCUUUUGAACGAGCAUCGUGAUAGGGAUGGAUUAUUGCAAUUGUUAAUCUUGAACGAGGAAUUCCUAGUAAACGCGAGUCAUCAGCUCGCAUUGAUUACGUCCCUGCCCUUUGUACACACCGCCCGUCGCACCUACCGAUUGAAUGGUUCGGUGAAGAUCUCGGACUUCGAUAUUUAUUCUUUAUUGAGUUUAUAUUGUGGGAAGUUAUCUAAACCUCAUCAUUUAGAGGAAGGUGAAGUCGUAACA